CAUGCGUUGUUUUAGUAGGUUUAAAUUCUAAACCUUGUUUUAAAUUUAAAAACAACUCGCGUUCUUCUAAUAGCAACUAGUUUAGUGAACUAAAAACUUAUCAGAACUUGUUUAUUACAUUUGAAAAAUAAUAAAGUACAAUGGGUUACUGUUCAUAGCUAGUUCAACUGUUCCUGUUAGCAAUGAUUUAAAUAGUUAAACUUCAGAAUCUUAUGAAUCAUAACUUUUGAAUCAUAAACUAAUAGUUUAAAACCAAAAGGGAUUAAGUUUGGGAUUUACAACAAGCCUAAGCAAUUUAAUUUAAUGUAUUCCAACCAUAUUCGCUUUUCAACAAAGAAACUUACCUGUUGUAAAGAAGGGAAAAGUAAACUAAAGCAGAAAGACUUUUUCUUGGAACUCGAUAUAAAUAUUUUUUGUGU